rnacentral:rRNA from 1 species
AGACAGCAGUCGCCACGGGAAUACGAAGGGGGCUAGCGUUGCUCGGAAUUACUGGGCGUAAAGGGAGCGUAGGCGGAUGUUUAAGUCAGAGGUGAAAGCCCAGGGCUCAACCUUGGAACUGCCUUUGAUACUGGACAUCUUGAGUGUGGGAGAGGUAAGCGGAACUCCGAGUGUAGAGGUGAAAUUCGUAGAUAUUCGGAAGAACACCAGUGGCGAAGGCGGCUUACUGGCCCAUUACUGACGCUGAGGCUCGAAAGCGUGGGGAGCAAAUGGGAUUAGAUACCCGUGUAGUCCCUGUCUCUUAUAC